UAGUUGUUAAUUGUUGUUUGGAAAUGUACAAAGCGAUGAUUCCGCAAGGAAUAAACGAACAAUUUGUCUCUACGUAAGGACACGUGACUCAAUACCGAAUAUGCAGUACGACCAUCCAAUAUUGUCAGUCACAAUCAGCUGAUAAUGACUGAAAAUGUUACACGUUAAUGCCGUGUGACACUUCUCCAUUAUCCAAUCUAAGAAAUGACGGGAUUGCGGUUUUUGGUCAGCCUUUACCAAAUUCCUACAUUACAGAAAGCGGAUUUCUCAUAAAUACUUGAUUAGAUAAAAUCAGAACAGUGGAAUGCUUUUUGAAUAGAAAAUAUAGAUGUGGAAAUUCAAAACUGUUGGCGUAACCGCUUGUACUUAUUCCACCAUUUCCAAUCAGACCAGUGCCAGUCAGAUGCCAAUCAGACAUGCCAGAAGCAGUAAAUGAAAUUGGGAAGAUAACGCAACAAGGUUGAGCUCCAUACAUCCCAAAUUUUCCUCGUUUUAACCGAUUCGAGGUAUUCCACUACAGAUAUGGCAUGGAAGAAAUUAACUUUGAAUUAAAAUGUGAAAUGAAUUUGGGUCAAUGGUGAAUGUAGGUAUAUGUAAAAAAUUCCGAGUGCUGAAAGUUAUUUUUGUUCGAAAUUAAGAAUCACAGUUGCAAAUUAGGUCAGGCUUUCAGGUUUGAUUACAUUUUAUAUUCGACGUACGUUGUUUUUUAAAACCGACAACCAUACUAAGAAUUAUUUUGUCGCGGGGGUUCACUAGAAUUCAAAUCAUAUGCACAAAGAC